AGAGAAGGAGGACUUGGUAAAUGAUCAAAUGCAGGGCUGCUGGGCAAGAAGGGACUCGGCGAUGCUCCCUAGACAUAAAAAUGAAAUUCAUAAGGUCUCAGCAGGACAAGCACCAAAAAUUCAAACACGACCAUCAUCAUCUACCAUUCAUUUGGAGAAGACAACCAAGUUGAUCACCAGAAUCUUACCAUACAGGUGAACAUCACCAUAAGAAAUCACCCUAGCCACAAAAUCCUCCUGUAAGUGUCAAUUACUGAACUAUAGAUUAUGAUCUAUUAAUUUCUUAUUAAACCCGCAUUGGAAUAAACAGCAA